AUGAGCCAAGAUUCAGAGAAGCGAUUUCGUUCCAUCAUGGAUAAGCUCUUCCAUUCAUCCAAAUCUUCAUCCAACAACCCUUCAUUCUCCAACUCCAGUUCUUCGGGGGUGCAAUUAUCAAGUUCCAGGGGUAAGAAACGUGGUUUUCAGUCAAUUGUAUCAGGAUCAGGAGGAGCGAUGGAUAGGAGAGGGGAUGAUCAGUCUUCUUCAGUUACUGCAGCAGAUUCCCAAGGUCAUCUCUGUCGACCGUGGGAUCGCGCUGAUUUCAUGAAGAGAUUGGCUACAUUUAAGUCUAUUUCAUGGUUUGCUAAACCCAAGGUUCUUUUCUCACUCUAA